rnacentral:rRNA from 1 species
UACGAAGGGGGGCUAGCGUUGCUCGGAAUUACUGGGCGUAAAGCGCACGUAGGCGGAUUGUUAAGUCGGGGGUGAAAUCCUGGAGCUCAACUCCAGAACUGCCUUCGAUACUGGCGAUCUCGAGUUCGGGAGAGGUGAGUGGAACUGCGAGUGUAGAGGUGAAAUUCGUAGAUAUUCGCAAGAACACCAGUGGCGAAAGGCGGCUCACUGGCCCGAUACUGACGCUGAGGUGCGAAAGCGUGGGGAGCAAACAGG